rnacentral:rRNA from 1 species
AGCAGUAGCCGCGGUAAUGCGUAGGUCCCGAGCGUUGUCCGGAUUUAUUGGGCGUAAAGCGAGCGCAGGCGGUUAGAUAAGUCUGAAGUUAAAGGCUGUGGCUUAACCAUAGUACGCUUUGGAAACUGUUUAACUUGAGUGCAAGAGGGGAGAGUGGAAUUCCAUGUGUAGCGGUGUAAUGCGUAGAUAUAUGGAGGAACACCGGUGGCGAAAGCGGCUCUCUGGCUUGUAACUGACGCUGAGGCUCGAAAGCGUGGGGAGCAAACAGGAUUAGAUACCCGCGUAGUCCCUGUCUCUUAUACA